rnacentral:tRNA from 1 species
GGCUCCAUAGUGUAGUGGUUAGCACGUCUGCUUUGCAAGCAGAAGAUCCGGAGUUCGCGCCCCAGAUGGAGCCA